AACGGCCGCGGUAUCCUAACCGUGCAAAGGUAGCGUAAUCACUUGUCCCUUAAAUAGGGACCAGUAUGAACGGCCACAUGAGGGCCUAACUGUCUCCUGUGACCAAUCAAUGAAACUGAGCCCCCAGUACAAAAGCUGGGAUACAAGCAUAAGACGAGAAGACCCUGUGGAGCUUAAAACACACCACUAAUCACUAAACACCUUCCCCCACAAGGCAUACCCCCCCCCC
rnacentral:rRNA from 1 species